rnacentral:rRNA from 1 species
UGCAGUCGAAGGGAUCUACUGGUAAGCUUGCUUAUUGGUAGUGAGAGUGGCGCACGGGUGCGUAACGCGUGAGCAACCUACCCUUGUCAGGGGGAUAGCCCGGCGAAAGUCGGAUUAAUACCGCAUGACAUCAUUGAGAGGCAUCUUUCGAUGAUCAAAGAUUUAUCGGACAAGGAUGGGCUCGCGUGACAUUAGCUAGUUGGUAAGGUAACGGCUUACCAAGGCAACGAUGUCUAGGGGCUCUGAGAGGAGAGUCCCCCACACUGGUACUGAGACACGGACCAGACUCCUACGGGAGGCAGCAGUAAGGAAUAUUGGUCAAUGGACGGAAGUCUGAACCAGCCAUGCCGCGUGCAGGAGGACGGCCCUAUGGGUUGUAAACUGCUUUUAUACGGGAACAAACGUCGGUACGUGUACCGAUCUGAGUGUACCGUAAGAAUAAGGAUCGGCUAACUCCGUGCCAGCAGCCGCGGUAAUACGGAGGAUCCGAGCGUUAUCCGGAAUUAUUGGGUUUAAAGGGUGCGUAGGCGGCCAAAUAAGUCAGGGGUGAAAGUCGGCAGCUCAACUGUCGCAGUGCCUUUGAUACUGUUUGGCUUGAAUUCGGUUGAAGAUGGCGGAAUGAGACAAGUAGCGGUGAAUGCAUA